UUUUUGAGUGUCUAUUUAUUUUCGUUUGGUAUCUAUGGAUUGAUCACAAGCCGAAACAUGGUUAGAGCUCUAAUAUGUCUUGAACUUAUACUGAAUUCAAUUAAUCUAAAUCUCGUAACUUUUUCUGAUCUAUUUGAUAGUCGCCAAUUAAAAGGAGAUAUUUUCGCAAUUUUUGUUAUAGCCCUUGCGGCUGCUGAAGCCGCUAUUGGACUAUCCAUUCUUUCUUCCAUCCAUCGUAAUAGGAAAUCGACUCGUAUCAAUCAAUCUAAUUUAUUGAAUAAUUAG
rnacentral:rRNA from 1 species